GAGAGCAGCGAGCGGGGGAGCCGCGCUGCCAGCAGCAGCCGCCGCCUCACGCUGCGGCACCGGCCCGGCCAGCGCAGGUGGCAGUGUAGAAGCCAAGAACAAGAAUUGGCAGAAAUUGUGCUCUGUGUACGAGACUAUGAAGAGUGUACUCAUGACUAAGCACAGGAACCUGGAAAACCACAGGUGAUGGAGAGACAUCUCCUGCUGUAACCAGUGCUGGAAGGGAGCAUUUGGUGACCUCCCAACCACAUGCCAAAGUGGCACACAGCAGCAGGAGUCUGGGCUGUCUUCUCAUGGUGGGGAAGUGCUGGUGACACAAAGGCUCCCAAAAGAGUGCUGGAAGCAGCACAUGAAUUCCAUGGGAAAAAGGA